GAACGCUGGCGGCGUGCUUAACACAUGCAAGUCGAACGAGGUCCAGCCGAGCCUUCGGGCAAAGCGAAGACCUAGUGGCGAACGGGUGCGUAACACGUGAGGAACCUGCCCCGGACUUGGGAAUAACAGUCGGAAACGGCUGCUAAUACCGAAUACCUUCGUAGCGUCGCAUGGCGCAUCGAAGAAAGCUUUUGCGGUCUGGGAGGGCCUCGCGGCCUAUCAGCUUGUUGGCGAGGUAACGGCUCACCAAGGCAUCGACGGGUAGCUGGUCUGAGAGGAUGAUCAGCCACACUGGGACUGAGACACGGCCCAGACUCCUACGGGAGGCAGCAGUGGGGAAUAUUGCACAAUGGGCGAAAGCCUGAUGCAGCAACGCCGCGUGCGGGAAGAAGGCCUUAGGGUUGUAAACCGCUUUCAGCAGGGAAGAAACUGACGGUACCUGCAGAAGAAGGUGCGGCCAACUACGUGCCAGCAGCCGCGGUGACACGUAGGCACCAAGCGUUGUCCGGAUUUAUUGGGCGUAAAGAGCUCGUAGGCGGUUCAGUAAGUCGGGUGUGAAAACUCUGGGCUCAACCCAGAGACGCCACCCGAUACUGCUGUGACUUGAGUACGGUAGGGGAGUGGGGAAUUCCUGGUGUAGCGGUGAAAUGCGCAGAUAUCAGGAGGAACACCAGUGGCGAAGGCGCCACUCUGGGCCGUAACUGACGCUGAGGAGCGAAAGCGUGGGUAGCAAACAGGAUUAGAUACCCUGGUAGUCCACGCCGUAAACGUUGGGCACUAGGUGUGGGUCUCAACCAACGAGAUCCGCGCCGUCGCUAACGCAUUAAGUGCCCCGCCUGGGGAGUACGGUCGCAAGACUAAAACUCAAAGGAAUUGACGG
rnacentral:rRNA from 1 species